rnacentral:rRNA from 1 species
AAACGUUGGGCGCUAGAUGUGGGGACCAUUCCACGGUUUCCGUGUCGUAGCUAACGCAUUAAGCGCCCCGCCUGGGGGAGUACGGCCGCAAGGCUAAAACUCAAAGGGAAUUGACGGGGGGCCGCACAAGCGGCGGAGCAUGCGGAUUAAUUCGAUGCAACGCGAAGAACCUUACCAAGGCUUGACAUAUACGAGAACGGGCCAGAAAUGGUCAACUCUUUGGACACUCGUAAACAGGUGGUGCAUGGUUGUCGUCAGCUCGUGUCGUGAGAUGUUGGGUUAAGUCCCGCAACGAGCGCAACCCUCGUUCUAUGUUGCCAGCACGUUAUGGUGGGAACUCAUGGGAUACUGCCGGGGUCAACUCGGAGGAAGGUGGGGACGACGUCAAAUCAUCAUGCCCCUUAUGUCUUGGGCUUCACGCAUGCUACAAUGGCCAGUACAAAGGGCUGCAAUACCGUAAGGUGGAGCGAAUCCCAAAAAGCUGGUCCCAGUUCGGAUUGAGGUCUGCAACUCGACCUCAUGAAGUCGGAGUCGCUAGUAAUCGCAGAUCAGCAACGCUGCGGUGAAUACGUUCCCGGGCCUUGUACACACCGCCCGUCAAGUCAUGAAAGUCGGUAACACCCGAAGCCAGUGGCCUAACCGCAAGGAAGGAGCUGUCUAAGGU